UACAGAGGGUGCAAGCGUUAAUCGGAAUUACUGGGCGUAAAGGGUGCGUAGGUGGUUUAAUAAGUUAGGUGUGAAAGUCCUGGGCUUAACCUGGGGAUUGCGCCUAAUACUGUUAAGCUAGAGUACUGUAGAGGGAGGUGGAAUUUCCGGUGUAGCAGUGAAAUGCGUAGAUAUCGGAAGGAACAUCAGUGGCGAAGGCGACUUCCUGGACAGAUACUGACACUGAGGCACGAAAGCGUGGGGAG
rnacentral:rRNA from 1 species